UAAAAUUGGUAUUCCUACAGCUUUGCCUCUAAUCUAACAUAUGAUUGCAAAACUGGUGGCCGCUAACCUCGUCAUUUUCGCGGAGCGCGCAGCCUCUGCGUAAAUGUUUAACGUGGACGGGUCAACGAGAGUCAGCGCGAACUAGCAGGAACUCGUACUAUUUUUCGAAGCUCACCAGUUUUAUUACAGGGAGAAAGUGCCAUUCAUUGACACCAAGCUGAUCUACCGGCCCUGACACAUCCAGACAACACGAAAUAUAAAAGCAGGUCAUAGGUUCCGUUUUGCCGCCGAAGACAUUAAAGAUUAGAAGGUCAAUCGUCGUGUGUGGGAUUCGUGCUGGCGCUAAUUAAAUUUUGCUGGUUGGAAUAAGCACGCCAAACUAGCUGUGUGUGGCUCGCCUUAGCGGGGCGUGACUCGCGUCGGCAGAACCCAACAGGACCUGAAAAAAAAACACCAGCCACCACUUCUUUGAGUUGUUUCCUUGUUUGUUGCCCCCCGUAUAAGGGUUAACAGUAGUGGUAGUAGCAGCAAUGGUCUGUCCCAACCACACUCAUCGCCACUUUCGUCCCCCUUCUUCCUUUUUUCGUUCUCCUCGCCUUCUUCUUCAUUACCCUUCGUUUCAUCGACCCCCAUUUUUAACACCAUAGGCUUUAGCUAACACCUAGAAUCCGACAAGCUACCUACAAACCUACCUAGAAAGCUGCUGAACCAACCUGAACGUAGCUGUUGCAGGUGGCGCUCGUUUCAACCUCCCAGUGCAGGGUCCCAGUGCGCGCGCACUAUGCGUGUGAAUUCUCCAGCUGAGAGAGGCAGGACUUUGGCUGUGGGCUAGCUAAUAUUGGCUCUAACAUACUGGCAUAGCGUGAGGAACGAGGUCAUCAAGAAACGGACAAAGUUGAAUUGUUACAUGAAGAAACGGCCGACGAUUGUUCUAAUAUUAGUUCUCGCUCUAUUAUAUUUUAGGCCGUUUCGGUAACUGCUAACUAUUCAAAGGUACUCGGUAAAAUGAAUCAAAUAACGCUUGAGUUAUCUGGUGGCAAAAAUUAACCGCUUUACUAUUACUAACA